rnacentral:rRNA from 1 species
ACCUGAUUCAGCGGCGGACGGGUGAGUAAUGCCUAGGAAUCUGCCCGAUAGUGGGGGACAACGUUUCGAAAGGAACGCUAAUACCGCAUACGUCCUACGGGAGAAAGUGGGGGAUCUUCGGACCUCACGCUAUCGGAUGAGCCUAGGUCGGAUUAGCUAGUUGGUGAGGUAAUGGCUCACCAAGGCGACGAUCCGUAACUGGUCUGAGAGGAUGAUCAGUCACACUGGAACUGAGACACGGUCCAGACUCCUACGGGAGGCAGCAGUGGGGAAUAUUGGACAAUGGGCGAAAGCCUGAUCCAGCCAUGCCGCGUGUGUGAAGAAGGUCUUCGGAUUGUAAAGCACUUUAAGUUGGGAGGAAGGGCAGUAAGCUAAUACCUUGCUGUUUUGACGUUACCAACAGAAUAAGCACCGGCUAACUUCGUGCCAGCAGCCGCGGUAAUACGAAGGGUGCAAGCGUUAAUCGGAAUUACUGGGCGUAAAGCGCGCGUAGGUGGUUCAGCAAGUUGGAUGUGGAAUCCCCGGGCUCAACCUGGGAACUGCAUCCAAAACUACUGAGCUAGAGUACGGUAGAGGGUGGUGGAAUUUCCUGUGUAGCGG